GACGAACGCUGGCGGCGUGCUUAACACAUGCAAGUCGAACGCUGAAGCUCAGCUUUUGUUGGGUGGAUGAGUGGCGAACGGGUGAGUAACACGUGAGUAACCUGCCUCCUUCUUUGGGAUAACGCCCGGAAACGGGUGCUAAUACUGGAUAUUCACUGGUCUUCGCAUGGGGGUUGGUGGAAAGGGUUUUUCUGGUGGGGGAUGGGCUCGCGGCCUAUCAGCUUGUUGGUGGGGUGAUGGCCUACCAAGGCUUUGACGGGUAGCCGGCCUGAGAGGGUGACCGGUAACAUUGGGACGGAGAUAAGGCCCAGACUCCUACGGGGGGGAGCAGUGGGGAAUAUUGCACAAUGGGUGCAAGCCUGAUGCAGCGACGCCGCGUGAGGGAUGGAGGCCUUCGGGUUGUGAACCUCUUUCGCUCAUGGUCAAGCCGCAACAAUGGUUGUGGUGAGGGUAGUGGGUAAAGAAGCGCCGGCUAACUACGUG
rnacentral:rRNA from 1 species